UGGGGAAUAUUGCACAAUGGGCGCAAGCCUGAUGCAGCCAUGCCGCGUGUAUGAAGAAGGCCUUCGGGUUGUAAAGUACUUUCAGUCGGGAGGAAGGUGGUAAGGUUAAUAACCUUGGCAAUUGACGUUACCGACAGAAGAAGCACCGGCUAACUCCGUGCCAGCAGCCGCGGUAAUACGGAGGGUGCAAGCGUUAAUCGGAAUUACUGGGCGUAAAGCGCACGCAGGCGGUUUGUUAAGUCAGAUGUGAAAUCCCCGGGCUCAACCUGGGAACUGCAUCUGAUACUGGCAAGCUUGAGUCUCGUAGAGGGGGGUAGAAAUCCAGGUGUAGCGGUGAAAUGCGUAGAGAUCUGGAAGAAUACCGGUGGCGAAGGCGGCCCCCUGGACGAAGACUGACGCUCAGGUGCGAAAGCGUGGGGAGCAAACAGG
rnacentral:rRNA from 1 species